CCAAUAGCGUAUAUUAAAGUUGUUGCAGUUAAAAAGCUCGUAGUUGAAUUUCGGGAUUGGCGCAUCGGUCGUGCCUCACGGGGUAUGAACUGGUGCAGUCAAUUUCUCACCUUCUGGAGAACCGCGAUGUCCUUAAUUGGGUGCCGCGGGGAACCAGGACCUUUACUUUGAAAAAAUUAGAGUGUUUAAAGCAGGCAUUUUUGCUUUAAUACAUGAGCAUGGAAUAAUAAAAUAGGACGGCAUGGUUUUAUUUUGUUGGUUUCUAGGACCACCGUAAUGAUGAAUAGUGAUAGUUGGGGGCAUUAGUAUUCAAUUGUCAGAGGUGAAAUUCUUGGAUGUAUUGAAGACUAACUACUGCGAAAGCAUUUGCCAAGGAUGUUUUCAUUAAUCAAGAACGAAAGUUAGGGGAUCGAAGACGAUCAGAUACCGUCGUAGUCUUAACCAUAAACUAUGCCGACUAGGAAUCAGACGAUGUUAAUUUUUUAAUGACUCGUUUGGCACCUUACG
rnacentral:misc_RNA from 1 species